rnacentral:rRNA from 1 species
AUUGAACGCUGGCGGCAGGCCUAACACAUGCAAGUCGAGCGGAUGAAGGGAGCUUGCUCCUGGAUUCAGCGGCGGACGGGUGAGUAAUGCCUAGGAAUCUGCCUGGUAGUGGGGGAUAACGUCCGGAAACGGGCGCUAAUACCGCAUACGUCCUGAGGGAGAAAGUGGGGGAUCUUCGGACCUCACGCUAUCAGAUGAGCCUAGGUCGGAUUAGCUAGUUGGUGGGGUAAAGGCCUACCAAGGCGACGAUCCGUAACUGGUCUGAGAGGAUGAUCAGUCACACUGGAACUGAGACACGGUCCAGACUCCUACGGGAGGCAGCAGUGGGGAAUAUUGGACAAUGGGCGAAAGCCUGAUCCAGCCAUGCCGCGUGUGCGAAGAAGGUCUUCGGAUAGUAAAGCACUUUAAGUUGGGAGGAAGGGCAGUAAGUUAAUACCUUGCUGUUUUGACGUAACCAACAGAAUAAGCACCGGCUAACUUCGUG